rnacentral:tRNA from 1 species
GGGGUUGUGGCUUAGUGGCAGAGCGCUUGCCUAGCAUGUGUGAGGCACUGGGUUCGAUUCUCAGCACCA